CAAGGCUGAAACUCAAAGGAAUUGAGGGGGGCCCGCACAAGCGGAGGAACAUGUGGUUUAAUUAGAUGAUUCGCGAGGAACCUUAGCCGGGCUCGAGCGGCACCUGAAUAUGCCAGAGAAGGCAUAGUCUUCGGACAGUUGUCGAGGUGCUGCAUGGUUGUCGUCAGCUCGUGCUGUGAAGUGUCGGCUUAAGUGCCAUAACGAGCGCAACCCAUGCCUUCAGUUGCCAUCAGGUUAUGCUGGGGACUCUGGAGGGCCUGCCACCGCAAGGUGCGAGGAAGGGGGGGAUGACGUCAAAUCAGCACGGCCCUUACGUCCGGGGCGACACACGUGUUACAAUGGCAGGUACAGAGGGGUGCUACCGGGUGACCGGAUGCCGAUCUCGAAAACCUGUUCCAGUUCGGACUGGAGUCUGCAACCCGACUCCACGAAGUUGGAUUCGCUAGUAAUCGUGCAUCAUCCAUGGCGCGGUGAAUACGUUCCCGGGCCUUGUACACACCGCCCGUCAAGCCAUGGGAG
rnacentral:rRNA from 1 species